rnacentral:rRNA from 1 species
AGCGAACGCUGGCGGCAGGCUUAACACAUGCAAGUCGAGCGGACCUUUCGGGGUCAGCGGCGGACGGGUGAGUAACGCGUGGGAACGUGCCUUCCGGUUCGGAAUAACCCUGGGAAACUAGGGCUAAUACCGGAUACGCCCUUAUGGGGAAAGGUUUACUGCCGGAAGAUCGGCCCGCGUCUGAUUAGCUAGUUGGUGGGGUAACGGCCUACCAAGGCGACGAUCAGUAGCUGGCCUGAGAGGAUGAUCAGCCACACUGGGACUGAGACACGGCCCAGACUCCUACGGGAAGCAGCAGUGGGGAAUAUUGGACAAUGGGCGCAAGCCUGAUCCAGCCAUGCCGCGUGAGUGAUGAAGGCCUUAGGGUUGUAAAGCUCUUUUAUCCGGGACGAUAAUGACGGUACCGGAGGAAUAAGCCCCGGCUAACUUCGUG